rnacentral:rRNA from 1 species
GACGAACGCUGGCGGCGUGCUUAACACAUGCAAGUCGAACGGAAAGGCCCUGCUUUUGUGGGGUGCUCGAGUGGCGAACGGGUGAGUAACACGUGAGUAACCUGCCCUUGACUUUGGGAUAACUUCAGGAAACUGGGGCUAUUACCGGAUAGGAGCUCCUGCUGCAUGGUGGGGGUUGGAAAGUUUCGGCGGUUGGGGAUGGUCUCGCGGGUUAUCAGCUUGUUGGUGGGGUAGUGGCUUACAAAGGCUUUGACGGGUAGCCGGCCUGGGAGGGUGACCGGGCACAUUGGGACUGAGAUACGGACCAGACUCCUACGGGAGGCAGCAGUGGGGAAUAUUGCACAAUGGGCGGAAGCCUGAUACAGCAACGCCGCGUGCGUGAUGACGGCCUUCGGGUUGUAAACCGCUUUCGCCGGUGACGAAGCGUGAGUGACGGUAAUGGGUAAAGAAGCACCGGCUAACUACGUG